rnacentral:rRNA from 1 species
GAGAGUUAAACAGUACGUGAAAUUGUUGAAAGGGAAACGAUUGAAGCCAGUCGUACCUUCGGGUAAUCAGCCUUUCGGGUGCGAUUCUGUGGGGUUUGAGGAGCUUUAACACCUUCAUGCUUUGCAUAUUCGUGCUCUUGGGUGUACUUGCCCGUGUGGUUGGUUAACAUCAAUUUCGGGCACCAUAAAAUGGCUGGAGGAAUGUAGCUUCGAUCUUGUAUUGAAGUGUUAUAGCCUUCGGUAGAUGUGGUGAUCGAGAUUGAGGAUUGCAACGGAUACCUUUCGGGGCUACCUGUCUGAUCUCUGAUCGUUGUUUUGGUGCUGAAAGCGUGCUUAUAGUUAUCAAAGUCGAUGGUCAAUAGGUUAGAAUGGGUUAAAUUCGUUAAGGAUGUUGACGUAAUGGCUUUAAACGA